rnacentral:lncRNA from 1 species
AGAUAUAUCACUAAAACCAGCACCCAAGUGAUGUGACUCUUCACCAGAGUCCUGCCCACAAGGAGGAUUGUGACAUUUCACUGGACCAGCACCCACUCAGGAAUCAAAUCCGAGUUCGUCUACAGCUGAUUCGGCAGGUACCAGGGCGUCCGCGAUGGUGAGUGAUAGCACCGCGAUGGUGGUAUUGCUCCAUAUGCCUGAGACCCUAACAAAAGCCUAAUUACAACUCAUAUGCCUGGAGCCAGGACAUGUGCAGGAUGCCAUGAUGGUCCAAGUUAUAUUGGGAUUCAGCCAAUAGAAGAUAUUUUGCCUGUCAUCCCUAAGCUUAGGACAAUAGGGUCCUGCCCACAAGAAAGAUUGUGACAUCUCACUGGACAAGCACCCACCCAGACUCUGCCAAGAGAGGGGAUUAUUACAUAUUGCAGAGCCCAGCACCUAGGUGGAGUGACUCUCAUCUUUUUCUUCUACCCCGUAUAUAGCCAGCUUGGUGACCUACUAUUUGAGUCUAUACCCAGGCCCAGACCACAGAUGAAAUUGUGCAAUAUGUGGAACAAACACCUAAACAAUAUAUAACACCUUCCUUGGCUCUGUCUACAAAGGGCACUUUUAUAUAUCACUGGGACCAUCAACCAGGUGAUGUUAAUUAUCUUCCUGAAACCUGUCUACAAAGAGAGUUGUGUCGUAUACCUAGGCCCGUCAUGUAAGUGAUGUCAGUCCCUUCUACUGCCUUGGCCCUGCACUUACAGUGCAUUGUGACACAUAACAAGGUACUGCACACAGACGAUGUGAUUCUCCUUUUUGGGUUCUGCCAAAAGGAAGCAUUGUAAUAAAUCGCUUGGCUCA